CAGUAGCCGCGGUAAUACGUAGGUGGCAAGCGUUGUCCGGAAUUAUUGGGCGUAAAGGGCUCGCAGGCGGUUUCUUAAGUCUGAUGUGAAAGCCCCCGGCUCAACCGGGGAGGGUCAUUGGAAACUGGGAGACUUGAGUGCAGAAGAGGAGAGUGGAAUUCCACGUGUAGCGGUGAAAUGCGUAGAGAUGUGGAGGAACACCAGUGGCGAAGACGACUCUCUAGUCUGUAACUGACGCUGAGGAGCGAAAGCGUGGGGAGCGAACAGGAUUAGAUACCCCCGUAGUCCCUGUCUCUUAUAC
rnacentral:rRNA from 1 species